rnacentral:lncRNA from 1 species
UCGUCUAAGCCCGCUUGCGGCGCAUAGGCGCUGAUGACGUUGAGGACGCAACCCCCAAUAACCAACUUAAUAGACAUUAACCUAUCAUUCACUCGUCUAACCUCGACUACGGACUCCCUUAGAUCCCUAUCAACCAAGAUGCCCACACCAUUCUUACCUCUCACGACCGCAGAAUACCACAGCUUAAACCCGUCUGCAUUCCUCGCC